GGGGAAUAUUGGACAAUGGACCAAAAGUCUGAUCCAGCAAUUCUGUGUGCACGAUGAAGUUUUUCGGAAUGUAAAGUGCUUUCAGUUGGGAAGAAGAAAGUGACGGUACCAACAGAAGAAGUGACGGCUAAAUACGUGCCAGCAGCCGCGGUAAUACGUAUGUCACAAGCGUUAUCCGGAUUUAUUGGGCGUAAAGCGCGUCUAGGCGGUUAAUUAAGUCUGAUGUGAAAAUGCGGAGCUCAACUCCGUAUUGCGUUGGAAACUGGUUAACUAGAGUACUGGAGAGGUAAGCGGAACUACAAGUGUAGGGGUGAAAUUCGUAGAUAUUUGUAGGAAUGCCGAUGGGGAAGCCAGCUUACUGGACAGAUACUGACGCUAAAGCGCGAAAGCGUGGGUAGCAAACAGGAUUAGAUACCCUGGUAGUCCACGCUGUAAACGAUGAUUACUAGGUGUUGGGGGUCGAACCUCAGCGCCCAAGCUAACGCGAUAAGUAAUCCGCCUGGGGAGUACGUACGCAAGUAUG
rnacentral:rRNA from 1 species